rnacentral:rRNA from 1 species
UACGUAGGGGGCUAGCGUUGUCCGGAAUCAUUGGGCGUAAAGCGCGUGUAGGCGGUCCGGUAAGUCCGCUGUGAAAGUCGGGGGCUCAACCCUCGGAUGCCGGUGGAUACUGUCGGGCUUGAGUACGGAAGAGGCGAGUGGAAUUCCUGGUGUAGCGGUGAAAUGCGCAGAUAUCAGGAGGAACACCAAUUGCGAAGGCAGCUCGCUGGGACGGUACUGACGCUGAGACGCGAAGGCGUGGGGAGCAAACAGG